rnacentral:lncRNA from 1 species
CCCACUCACACCCUACCCUAGGAGGAAUUCUAUACUGUCACACUUGCACCACGUCAUCAAUAACAAGCCAAUCACAUUCCUUCUUUUUAAACAAAAGUACAAUAAAAAUACUUUUUUACAAUCAUGAUGGGACAUAUAUUCUUAAAAGGAUUAAUUUGAUUGGUUUGUUACGCCACGUCACUAAUAUACCCGUUGCAUUCUAGAAUUUUUCCUACCCUAGAGAUGUUUAAUUAAAAUUAAUAUAUUAAUAUAAUACUGUAAUAAUGCAUGUGUCACUUAUUAAUAUAAUACACAGACAUAAAUUUUAUUUUUCUAUUAUCCUAAUAUUAUAUUCACAAAAUUAUAACUAAAUUUUUAAUAAAAAAAUU